UACGAAGGGUGCAAGCGUUACUCGGAAUUACUGGGCGUAAAGCGUGCGUAGGUGGUUUGUUAAGUCUGCUGUGAAAUCCCCGGGCUCAACCUGGGAAUGGCAGUGGAUACUGGCAAGCUAGAGUGCGGUAGAGGGUAGUGGAAUUCCCGGUGUAGCGGUGAAAUGCGUAGAGAUCGGGAGGAACACCAGUGGCGAAGGCGGCUACCUGGACCAGUACUGACACUCAGGCACGAAAGCGUGGGGAGCAAACAGG
rnacentral:rRNA from 1 species